rnacentral:lncRNA from 1 species
GCUCAACUAGCCCAGUAAGAAAUAUUAUGACUAAGAUAAUGCAAAAUAAAUUAUUAUUAGCCUUCAACAGUAUUAAACUGAUAAAAUACAAUAGACAUCAAGUUUAACUGCAGUGGAACAAGCAAUCUAUUAGAAGAGUCAAGUAGAACAUGAAAUCUACUAUCUUUUAUGAUUUAAAAAGUUUAUCAACAGUUUUAUCGCUGAGACUCAGCUUAAUAAAUAAUCCACAUCAUCGAGUCAUCCCUGCACUACGGUUAAGGAUAUUCAUUAGUAUCACGACCACA